AUGGAGGGGUAACAACUCAGCCUCUUUAUCCCACAGAUGGAGGGGUAACAACUCAGCCUCUUUAUCCCACAGAUGGAGGGGUAACAACUCAGCCUCUUUAUCCCACAGAUGGAGGGGUAACAACUCAGCCUCUUUAUCCCACAGAUGGAGGGGUAACAGCACAGCUGGAUUAUUCAGAAAGUGACAGCGAUUCAGACUAUGCUUAUGAUGUGCCUAGACCAGUUGGUGGACAGAUAGGAGAGAAAAGGAAGCAGCUCCUGCACCAAAAUGAAUCAAGUGAAGCCUCUGGAUUUGCCUAAACCCAGCUGCAAUGUUAUGAGCUCCAGGAACGCUGCCAGUGGGUUUAUUCCUUGCGCCACACUCUUCUCAGAAACACCACGGUGUACUCCCAUUCAUCAUCACCCCUUUCCCCAAUAAAACGUGCCGGACCCUUGUUACUUCAGACUGUGCCAGGGCACCCUAUACAGUCAGAGUGGUGCCAUUAAACACAACUAGUUGCCCGGCACAACGAGUGUAAUGCAAGCGGGGUUUAGCUGCUAUUUUUUGACUAAACACGCAGGGGCUAAGCCCCAUUACACUCGUUGUGCCGGCAACUAUUUUUGUGCUGGGAGUGCUGACUCUUUGGGCUGUGUUGGAGGAGGUAAGGGUGUGCUGGGCACCGAGUAAGAAUUGUUGGAGGAGGUAAGGGUGUGCUGGGCACCGAGUA